UCCCAAAGGGAAGGGGAAAGAAGGAUGACUGAGUCCUGACCUGCAUCCUGGCGUUGUUGUUUGUCUUAAAUGUAUUGAGUAGUGAUGUUCAUGGUGAUAUGUUGGAUUUGACUGUAUUGAAACUCAUGCUCCAGUUCAAAUGGGGAAACUAUCUCUAUCUCAAUUAGACGCCAUUUUCAUCUGUAACUCCUGUAAGUAACUAACUAAGUAAUUGUCUUGUCGAUCCGUUUACAAGUGAAAAAUAUUCAAAAAUGCGUCUGCCGGGAGUCGAACCCGGGUCUAUU
rnacentral:lncRNA from 1 species